rnacentral:rRNA from 1 species
CCUACGGGUGGCAGCAGUGGGGAAUAUUGCACAAUGGGGGAAACCCUGAUGCAGCGACGCCGCGUGAGUGAAGAAGCGUUUCGGCGCGUAAAGCUCUGUCAGCGGGGAAGAAACACGGUUCGCGAGAGCCGCGGUCGGUACCCGACAAAGAAGCCCCGGCUAACUACGUGCCAGCAGCCGCGGUAAUACGUAGGGGGCAAGCGUUAUCCGGAUUUACUGGGUGGAAAGGGAGCGUAGACGGCGAGACAAGUCUGGAGUGAAAGGCUGGGGCCCAACCCCGGGCAUGCUCUGGAAAUUGGCUGGCUGGAGUACAGGAGAGGUAAGUGGAAUUCCUGGUGUAGCGGUGAAAUGCGUAGAUAUUAGGAGGAACACCAGUGGCGAAGGCAGCUUACUGGACUGUAACUGACGUUGAGGCUCGAAAGCGUGGGGAGCAAACAGGAUUAGAUACCCUGGUAGUC